GGACAUUCUGCAACAUCGGUCAUCCUAUGAUUACCAGGGUUGAUCUGGCUGGCUAGGCAGGUGCCCCCUUCCUCUCUCCUUCCAUAUGCAUAUGCCUUCCUUAAGGGCACUGGGUGAAAGAAGAUGACCUUCCCCAAACAGAGGAGGACCAAUCUUCAGUCAAGGGUGUAUCAGCUGAGCGGCUGGCUAGAGCCCAGCCUAGAAACAAGCGCUAAGAUGCCAAACUCAUAGACAUCUGGACAUUUAGUGGUAAGCUCUUCUACUAUAGUGU
rnacentral:snRNA from 1 species